GACAGAGGGGGCAAGCGUUGCUCGGAAUUACUGGGCGUAAAGGGCGCGUAGGCGGGAUGGCAAGUCGGUCGUGAAAUCCCUCGGCUCAACUGAGGAUCGUCGAUCGAUACUGCCGUUCUUGAGGAUUGCAGAGGAGACUGGAAUUCCCGGUGUAGCGGUGAAAUGUGUAGAGAUCGGGGGGAACACCGGUGGCGAAGGCGGGUCUCUGGGCAAUUCCUGACGCUGAGGCGCGAAAGCGUGGGUAGCAAACAGG
rnacentral:rRNA from 1 species